GCGGAGCAGGUCUCGCGAGGCGGCGCCCCGGCUCGCGCGGGCGUCGUGCACGCGGUUGUAGCUCCCUGGCGGCGGGAGAAGCCGCGCUCGCGCCAAGGGACGUGUUUCUGCGCUCGCGUGGUCAUGGAGGCGCUGCCGCUGCUAGCCGCGACAACUCCGGGCCACGGCCGGCACCGAAGGCUGCUUCUGCUGCCGCUACUGCUGUUCCUGCUGCCGGCUGGAGCUGUGCAGGGCUGGGAGACAGAGGAGAGGCCCCGGACCCGCGAAGAGGAGUGCCACUUCUACGCGGGUGGACAAGUGUACCCGGGAGAGGCAUCCCGGGUAUCGGUCGCCGACCACUCCCUGCACCUAAGCAAAGCGAAGAUUUCCAAGCCAGCACCCUACUGGGAAGGAACAGCUGUGAUCGAUGGAGAAUUUAAGGAGCUGAAGUUAACUGAUUAUCGUGGGAAAUACUUGGUUUUUUUCUUCUACCCACUUGAUUUCACAUUUGUGUGUCCAACUGAAAUUAUCGCUUUUGGCGAUAGACUUGAAGAAUUCAGAUCUAUAAAUACUGAAGUGGUAGCAUGCUCUGUUGAUUCCCAGUUUACCCAUUUGGCCUGGAUUAAUACCCCUCGAAGACAAGGAGGACUUGGGCCAAUAAGGAUUCCACUUCUUUCAGAUUUGACCCAUCAGAUCUCAAAGGACUAUGGUGUAUACCUAGAGGACUCAGGCCACACUCUUAGAGGUCUCUUCAUUAUUGAUGACAAAGGAAUCCUAAGACAAAUUACUCUGAAUGAUCUUCCUGUGGGUAGAUCAGUGGAUGAGACACUACGUUUGGUUCAAGCAUUCCAGUACACUGACAAACAUGGAGAAGUCUGCCCUGCUGGCUGGAAACCUGGUAGUGAAACAGAGACUACUUCAGGGAUCGUCUAUAAAUUAUACAGCCUCCUGGCUGGGAGCAGUGGCUCAUGCCUGUAAUCCCAGCACUUUGGGAGGCCGAGGAGGGUGGAUCACUUGAGGCCAGGAGUUUGAGACCAGCCUGGACAACAUGGUGAAACCCUGUCUCUACCAAAAAAUACAAAAAUUAGCUGGGUGUGGUGGUGCAGGCUUGUAGUCCCAGCUACUUAGGGGGCUGAGGCAUGAGAAUCGCAUGAACCUUGGAGGCGGAGGUUGCAGUGAGCCCAGAUCAUGCCACUGCACUCCAGUCUGGGCGACAGAGCAAGACUCUGUCUCAAAAAAGAAAAAAAAAAUUAUACAGCCUCCCAAAGUGCUGGGAUUACAGGCAUGAGGCACCGCACCUGGCCCAACCAACCUAUUUAUAAAAGCAUUUAUUACCACAACCUAAAAUUAGGAUGUAACUCCAAGGGCAGGGACUUUGGCUGUGUUGUUCACUAAUAAAUACUGCCUAUCAUAAUACUUUGAGUAGUUUCCAUAUAGCGAGUCUGUUGAAAGAAUGUCCAAACACAUAAAUAUAUACAACUAUUAUUUGUCAAUCAAAAAUAAAAUUAAAAAGAAUGACCACCACAGUUAGGUGAUAACACGUAUGCAUUUUUCUGGAGGGAGAAUCCAUAGUUUUCAUCAGAUUAUCAGAGAUUUGUGGCCCCCAAAAGUUAAUCAUGUAAAUAGUCAACAUGUUUUCCGAAAUGUCCAGUACUCAUCCUAUAAUACCUUUCAGAGUGAAACUGUACUUCUUGGGAGCUCUCACUGAUCUCUGGGAACUUGGACACCUAGCACAUGCCUGUGAUUGGAGAUGAUUUUUUCAUCAGUCACAGGGUUUUGCUGCAACUCCAGGGGGAAGUGCCCCCUACCUUGAAGAUGUGUCUGAAAUGCUUUUUAAGGCUUCUUAAGCUGCUGCUUAAGCCAGCAGCUUCUGAUUCAUAUUUCUUUCUAUAAGCCUCAUAAUCAACAAAUGUAAACUAACGUGACUGAUUUAUACUUUAAGGUACCUAGUGGUCAAAGUACCUUUAAUGUAUAAUUUCAAAUCCCCUUUGAGAUCCAUCAGAUCAACAUAGAGAUGAGUAAGUUUGCUAUUGUAACAUUAAUUUUGACCUCAAAGGCAAAACUGUUUUGCAAACCCAUCAGAAAUUGAUUCAGAAUCAGUCAAUUACAAAAGUUACAAUAAGUUAUUUUUAUAUAUAUAAAGAUAGAUGUACUUUACCUAUAACUAGCAAGUAACAUAAUGUGAGGUAAAAUUAUAUUGGAAAUUUUUUUUAAGUCUAACAAACAGGUUUCUAAGGCUGUGAUGCUCUUAGAGGGAACACAACAGUAUUCAUUAACUAUUGACAGUAGUGCUUGAUAUAUUUGAGUUUGGGUUUGUUUUUUUUUUUUUACUUUGCAGCUUGAGAUUUAAAAGUUGUAUUCUGGACUUUAGUAAGCCCUUAGUGAACACCUGCCUCCUUUUCAGAUAAUUGUGGCAUACCAUCAUUUUAGCAGCAAAUGAUUUUAAAAGUACAUUAACAUCUGUAGCCAUGCUCUCUAAAUGUGUUUGACUUAAUUAGAUCAAACCUGAAGAUACCAUGAAAGCCUGGUGGCCAAGAGAAGAGCUGUAAAUAAUCCCAGAUCCAGCUGGAAAGCUGAAGUAUUUCGAUAAACUGAAUUGAGAAAUACUUCUUCAAGUAAUGAUGCUUGAAAGUUCUCAAUAAAGUUCACGGUUUCAUUACCA